CUCCCUAAUACAUGCAAGUCGAGCGGACAGAUGGGAGCUUGCUCCCUGAUGUUAGCGCGGACGGGUGAGUAACACGUGGGUAACCUGCCUGUAAGACUGGGAUAACUCCGGGAAACCGGGGCUAAUACCGGAUGGUUGUUUGAACCGCAUGGUACAGACAUAAAAGGUGGCUUCGGCUACCACUUACAGAUGGACCCGCGGCGCAUUUGCUAGUUGGUGAGGUAACGGCUGACCAAGGCGACGAUGCGUAGCCGACCUGAGAGGGUGAUGCCGCACACUGGGAAUGAGACACUGCCAGACUCCUACGGCAGGCAGCAGUACGGAAUCUUCCGCAAAGGACCAAAGUCUGACCCAGCAACGCCGCGUGAGUGAUGAAGGUUUUCGGAUCGUAAAGCUCUGUUGUUAGGGAAGAACAAGUGCCGUUCAAAUAGGGCGGCACCUUGACGGUACCUAACCAGAAAGCCACGGCU
rnacentral:rRNA from 1 species